rnacentral:rRNA from 1 species
AACGAACGCUGGCGGCGUGCCUAAUACAUGCAAGUCGAGCGAAUCAAUAGGAGCUUGCUCCUGUUGAUUAGCGGCGGACGGGUGAGUAACACGUGGGCAACCUGCCUGUGAGACUGGGAUAACACCGGGAAACCGGUGCUAAUACCGGAUAAUCCUUUUCCUCUCAUGAGGGAAAGCUGAAAGUCGGUUUCGGCUGACACUUACAGAUGGGCCCGCGGCGCAUUGGCUAGUUGGUGAGGUAACGGGUCACCAAGGCGACGAGGCGUAGCCGACCUGGGCGGGUGAGCGGCCACACUGGGACUGAGACACGGCCCAGACUCCGACGGGAGGCAGCAGUAGGGAAUCUUCCACAAUGGACGAAAGUCUGAUGGAGCAACGCCGCGUGAGCGAUGAAGGCCUUCGGGUCGUAAAGCUCUGUUGUUAGGGAAGAACAAGUACCGGAGUAACUGCCGGUACCUUGACGGUACCUAACCAGAAAGCCACGGCUAACUACGUGCCAGCCGCCGCGGUAA